UCUGGCAGGAUGUUCCCAUUCUUGUCAUUGUUAGCAUGCUGGCUUACUUUUGUUUUCUUAAGCAGCUGCUGGUAAGUUCAGCUAAUAUGGAAAUGCUUCCUUCCUUACGAGCUUUUACCUGCUACUAAAGUCAUUAUGUACCCAGGUUUCGAAAAUUAAGUCUGGUGCAAUUGCCAUCUCUCUUCCUCUCUCCUGUAUAUUGGGUCUACUUGCAUCGAUGACAUUGACAACAAUGGUGAGGAGAAAAUACGUCUGGAUUUAUGCUACGACUCAAUACGCACUGGUGGUUCUUUCUGCACAUCUUUUCUUCUCGUUGCUCCACAUACAGGCUGUUCUCUCUGUUUGCAUUUGUUUGGCUCGGUGGCACAAUGUAUGGA